rnacentral:rRNA from 1 species
UACGUAGGGUGCGAGCGUUGUCCGGAAUUAUUGGGCGUAAAGAGCUUGUAGGCGGUCUGUCGCGUCUGCUGUGAAAGUCCGGGGCUCAACUCCGGAUCUGCGGUGGGUACGGGCAGACUAGAGUGAUGUAGGGGAGACUGGAAUUCCUGGUGUAGCGGUGAAAUGCGCAGAUAUCAGGAAGAACACCGGUGGCGAAGGCGGCUCUCUGGGCCUUACCUGACGCUGAGGAGCGAAAGCUGGGGGAGCGAACAGG